rnacentral:rRNA from 11 species
CUGCGUAAGCCCAUGCCGGUCGAAGAUACCAGGCCGCUGCGACUGUUUAUUAAAAACACAGCACUCUGCAAACACGAAAGUGGACGUAUAGGGUGUGAUGCCUGCCCGGUGCUGGAAGGUUAAUUGAUGCGGUUAGCUUCGGCGAAGCUGUUGAUCGAAGCCCCAGUAAACGGCGGCCGUAAC